rnacentral:rRNA from 1 species
AGUGAACGCUGGCGGCGUGCUUAACACAUGCAAGUCGAACGAGAACGGAAUAUAGCUUGCUAUAUUUGUCAGCUAAGUGGCGCACGGGUGAGUAAUGUAUAGAUAACCUGCCCUUAAGAAAGGAAUAACAGUUGGAAACGACUGAUAAUGCCCUAUAUGCCUUUAAUACAUAAGUAUGCAAGGGAAACGCUUUAGUGCUGAAGGAUGGGUCUGUAUGGUAUCAGCUUGUUGGUGAGGUAACGGCUCACCAAGGCUAUGACGCCUAACUGGUUUGAGAGGAUGAUCAGUCACACUGGAACUGAGACACGGUCCAGACUCCUACGGGAGGCAGCAGUGGUGAAUAUUGCACAAUGGACGAAAGUCUGAUGCAGCAACGCCGCGUGGAGGAUGACACAUUUCGGUGCGUAAACUCCUUUUAUAUAGGAAGAUAAUGACGGUACUAUAUGAAUAAGCACCGGCUAACUCCGUGCCAGCCGCCGCAGUAA